GUGAGGAAUAUUGCGCAAUGGAGGCAACUCUGACGCAGCCAUGCCGCGUGCAGGAAGAAGGCGCUACGCGUUGUAAACUGCUUUUAACCGGGAAGAAACCCCAGGACGUGUCCUGGGUUGACGGUACCGGAGGAAUAAGCACCGGCUAACUUCGUGCCAGCAGCCGCGGUAAUACGAAGGGUGCAAGCGUUAUCCGGAUUCAUUGGGUUUAAAGGGUGCGUAGGCGGAGCGUUAAGUCAGUGGUGAAAUCCUGCAGCUUAACUGUAGACUUGCCAUUGAUACUGGCGCUCUUGAGUGCGCUGGAAGUGGGCGGAAUGUGCCGUGUAGCGGUGAAAUGCUUAGAUAUGGCACAGAACACCAAUUGCGAAGGCAGCUCACUAAGGCGAUACUGACGCUGAGGCACGAAAGCGUGGGGAUCGAACAGGAUUAGAUACCCUGGUAGUCC
rnacentral:rRNA from 1 species